GUAGUUGUAGCCAAGUAGUUAAAGCAAUGGACUAGCAAUCCAUUGGUGUCUCCCUGCACAGGUUCAAAUCCUGCCAACUACA